rnacentral:pre_miRNA from 1 species
AACGUACCCCUAUGUCCAACAAAAGAUAUCUAAAGUUUGUCAAAAUUUGAAUGUAUAUAGACAUGACUUAGGGCAUAGAUGCAUUCAAAUUUAGCCAAAAUUGAGACAUCCUUUGUUGGACGAAGGGAGUAUGUC